GUUACUGGUCCAAGUUCCAAGUUUCACUGCUUGUUUCUGACAGAGCCAAGAUUUGAAAUGGCCUAGUGCUCUGUGCUCAGCUGUCCUCCCAGCCACCAUGGCAGAUGGAUGCUCUUGACAACUUGAAGCAGAAGAUAAUAGAGAAAAGAGAGUAUCUGCUUCGCAGAGGCAGCCUACAGGAUGGGUCAGCGCAGAUGACGGCGCAUGGUAGAAAGCCUACAGGUGAAAUUCAACCCUAUGGACAAGGAACUGGAAGUCAAAAGCGUGGAAGGAGGGGGACGAGGAAAUAGGCUUUUGCAGUUGUCAAGGAGGCGUAACUGGACUCUGAGUAGUGGCCACGGUGUUGGAGACAUGUCUCUGAGGAAUUUUGUGGAGGUGCUACUCGACUUGCCGAUAGACGUGAAGGAAGGAAGUGAAACAUCAGCUCUGCAAUAAUACACCAGAGGCCAUGGUGGAGCACAAAAGCGAGCGACUCGGAGUGGAGACAAUUAAGAAAUGUUCCUUAGAGGAAGAGAUUCUUGUAUAUAUGAAUAAUAGAAGCCUGCUCCUAUUUUUUUUUUUUUUUUACUGUGGGAAACAAGAGGCUGUAGGGAGAAGUACAGAUAAAGGAUUUUUGUACCAAAUGUUCUUCUAACAAGACCAAGUUGCAGUUGAGCUGUUUAUAUCCCUUUGACUAUAAAGAGCCGUAAUUAUACGCAACACUGAAAUGCUAAGUGAUUCAAUCGCCUCAAAUUUGUUAAGUUCCCAUUCUUUCACUGUGUGCCUGUUUUACGUCCAUCCUCUGCAUCAAGACAUUUUUAGAUUUGUUUUAAACCUGGAAUUGUUUUAUUCAAAGUGAGCACAUUCAAAACUAUUUCUCCUUGAUUCCUGGAAACAUUUUUGCUCUUCUCAGCAGUUCUGCACGAUGACCUUCUAAGGGUCCUGUUAAGCGAACUCUCUCUUUAGACAAGGUUUCAUAUCAGUUUUUCGCACUUACUAGAGGGGGCAUUUUUUCCUCCAAAUCAUCUAAUGGUCCUCUCUAUGAAUAGUAUUCUGUGAUUUUGAGUCUUAAGCUAUUCUAUUUUUAAAAAGUCACUGGCUGGAGUAUUUUUUUUUUAAAGAAUUACUUCAUUUUUAAAAAGAUACUGCAUAUUUGCUGCUUGUCUCAGUGAUCUGCUUUGCUUUUCCAAGCUCUUCACUACCUUAUUUCCUUAUCUCCUAGCCGUCUCACAUUGUCUGCUUGCCUUUUAGGAAAACAUUCUAGUUUGUUGUUAUCUAUAAUAAAGGAAUACAAAGUUAUAAAUGCCCAUAGGUGGUGGUUUGCCCAGAUAUGAAUUGCCUACUGUGAAUCAGUGAAAGACCGCUGAGUAUGUAUGAAAGGGGACUCCAGGUAGAGUCAGACCACACCGUGUCAGAGAGAGAGUCUGCGUGACGCCACGUACACAGCGCUCUCAUCUCUGGAGCAGAAGAUGACUACAGGAAGGCCCUUUUCACACUCAGUCUGCUUAGUUUUACACUCCUGAGUUUGAAUGCCUGAAUGAAGAACUCUGAAAAAAAAUUGUGACUUAGAGGAAAGACAGAGGUUUUGGAAGAAUUCAUUUACUCUAU